AUGCGAUAAGUAAUGUGAAUUGCAGAAUUCAGUGAAUCAUCGAAUCUUUGAACGCACAUUGCGCCCGCCGGUAUUCCGGCGGGCAUGCCUGUCCGAGCGUCAUUUCACCACUCAAGCCCAGCUUGGUGUUGGGGCACCCGGCCGCCUGGCGGUCGGGGCCCCCAAGUACAUCGGCGGUCCCGCCGGGGCUCCGAGCGCAGUAACUCGCGGUAAAACGCGCCCUCGCUCGGCGGCCUCUUCGGGCUUCCAGCCGCUAAACCCGUCCGCUGACGUUUUUCGAGUUGACCUCGGAUCAGGUAGGAAUACCCGCUGAACUUAA
rnacentral:misc_RNA from 1 species